ACCAGACUCCUACGGGAGGCAGCAGUGGGGAAUAUUGCACAAUGGGGGAAACCCUGAUGCAGCGACGCCGCGUGGGUGAAGAAGUAUUUCGGUAUGUAAAGCUCUAUCAGCAGGGAAGAAAAUGACGGUACCUGACUAAGAAGCCCCGGCUAACUACGUGCCAGCAGCCGCGGUAAUACGUAGGGGGCAAGCGUUAUCCGGAUUUACUGGGUGUAAAGGGAGCGUAGACGGCAUGGCAAGUCAGAUGUGAAAGCCCGGGGCUCAACCCCGGGACUGCAUUUGAAACUGUCAGGCUGGAGUGCAGGAGAGGCAAGCGGAAUUCCUAGUGUAGCGGUGAAAUGCGUAGAUAUUAGGAGGAACACCAGUGGCGAAGGCGGCUUGCUGGACAGAGACUGACGUUGAGGCUCGAAAGCGUGGGGAGCAAACAGGAUUAGAUACCCCGGUAAUG
rnacentral:rRNA from 1 species